GCUGGCGUAGCCGAGCAGGUAGCGCGGCUGGCCCGCCACCUGGGCCAGGCGCAGGCUGCGCGGCGGCUCGCCGCCGGCCGCCUGCA
rnacentral:tRNA from 1 species